rnacentral:rRNA from 1 species
CCUACGGGAGGCAGCAGUGGGGAAUUUUGGACAAUGGGCGAAAGCCUGAUCCAGCAAUGCCGCGUGAGUGAAGAAGGCCUCGGGUUGUAAAGCUCUUUUGUCAGGGAAGAAACGGUGAGAGCUAAUAUCUCUUGCUAAUGACGGUACCUGAAGAAUAAGCACCGGCUAACUACGUGCCAGCAGCCGCGGUAAUACGUAGGGUGCAAGCGUUAAUCGGAAUUACUGGGCGUAAAGCGUGCGCAGGCGGUUUUAGUAAGUCUGAUGUGAAAUCCCCGGGCUCAACCUGGGAAUUGCAUUGGAGACUGCAAGGCUAGAAUCUGGCAGAGGGGGGUUAGAAUUCCACGUGUAGCAGUGAAAUGCGUAGAUAUGUGGAGGAACACCGAUGGCGAAGGCAGCCCCCUGGGUCAAGAUUGACGNUC